rnacentral:lncRNA from 1 species
UGUGGUUUACAAUUCUAGACGUGGUGAUCUUCCUGGUUUGAGUGGAGUCUUUAAGCAUGGACUCCGGGGUAGUCUCGCUUUUUGUACACUUUUGAAUUUUUCUUUCUGGAGUUUUGGACUGUACAUCUCUCUUAUGUUUAAAGAGAUAUGUUUGGGUCAUUCAGUCUAGAUGUGUUAUGUAUGAUAAUCUUGUGUUUGAGGGUUUUGACUUUAUUAUCAGUGUAAUAUUUGGUUUUAAGAUAUUGUGGUAGAUAAAACAGGUGUCGUUCGCUCGGUCAACUGUUGGCCUGUGCUAUCACAUCCCGCCUAAUUAGCUUAAUUAUGGUGAUUUAGGUUGGGGGUUUGACCAAUGGUUGAAAACUUCGUUUCCAAAGGGUCUAAUAUCCUUAUCUGUUGGUCACAAGGGAGUUGUAAUGAACGGCCUUGAUUUUAUUUUUGCCACAAAGAGCCAUGGUGAUGCUCGACUCCAAGACCCAUAGUUCUUGUGGUGAUUCAAGGCACUAGCUCCAGGGGGUUUUGGGGGAUGUGAUCAACUGAGUGUAAAAAAUAGGGAGAGGUCUGGUCAGAAAUUUAAUUUAUGAAUUUCGCUUCUGACCUCAUGCCAUGUCCGGUAAAAAUGGUAGCAAAAUAUUGAAGGUUUGUAUUCCCUCGUUUUUUUUUAUAAUGUGAAAGAAAACCAGCAACGGUCAUGCUCUGAUACCAUUAUCAUAAUGGGAUAGAAGGGAGAGAUUGACUGAAUCAAUUGUUUUUCAUGUAUUUCCUUAUAGAACAGAACCAUACAUUUUUUAUAGGGAAGGAGACCUAGAAUUAGAUUUAAAAAUUAGGGACUAUUGAUCGUUUCGUGUAUGAAAAUCCUAAUUGAAUUGGUUUCCCAAUUGACUUGAUGUGUCUCCCGAAUCCUCAUUGAUUGUUUUUUAAAUUAACUUAAUGUGGUCUGCUAAUAUACUUAUCAUUCUUUAUGAAUGAUCUACUCAAUUAUACGACCUAAAACAUGAAUCACUCAAACCUUAUCAUGGCAUUUUUAAUCAGCCAGAUCAAAACCCCGUUCUCCCGCCCAGACUUUGUCGGACGCUCUUUUUGGUUCCCCACUUGCUAGUCAGCUUCUCUGUGGCUUCCUUUUACUCCCUCUCAUCUCAUGCUUCUUAUUCUUUCCAUAAAAUAGUUCAGGUUCAAAAAUACAAAGCGAUGAAUCCAAAUUUUGGAAAGCCUCCAUCAGUAUAACAGGUAACCUUUCAACUCAAUUGGCCAAUUACUUGUGUGAAUGGGCAUGUAAUUAGGUUAUGUUUGUUUCUUCUUGUGAUGACUUUGAGUUUAGGGGUUGGUACCUUCCAUUAGGGCUGUGGAAAAACCGGAAAAAUCGAUCAUCUGGUUCAGAUAGGACCGAACCACACGCCUUGGUCUGGUUCUGCGAUCAUAUGGUGCUGGUUUGGUUCAAAAUAACUAAAUUAAAAUCAGUUCCGAUAACUGGAUUUUGCACAAGAACUGUAGUUCAAAUCAAACCCCACCAAGUUUUAUAGAACAUUAUAUUAAAAUCAGGGAGUUCGUGUUUGAAUCCAAAAUCGAUCUCUUGUAUUACGGUUUUUUAAAGUUAUUGAGUGGAUCCAACGGCUCAGAAGUGCACUAAAAUGAUGGGGGGCCGCCCGAAAAACGAGCGCGGCACGCGCGCGCCGCCGAGCACGGGCACGGUCGGGGCGCCAGAGAAACGCGGCACUGCGGGCGCCGCAAGAACGGGCAAAAGCAAGAUGGGGAGACGGGGUUUAUUACUUUUUCUUUUUUUUUUUUUUUUUUUUCACCAAGUUGAUUUAUGGGGGUGGGGUGUUUUAAUUUUACUGUAGGAAGGUUGAUAUAAUUUUGGGAGUAUAUAAAAAUUUUAUAACCCCUUUAUUUUUUUAUAUUUUAAUACCUAUUAAUCUUUUAUUUUGUAUUUACGGUAAUAUCUGAAUUUUUAUAAAAAAAAAAUAUAAUAAAUUUAUAAUUUCUUUACUACACCUUAUGUUUUUUAUAAAAGAAAAAAAAUUGAAUCAAGAUUUUUAAUAUUUUUUAAAAUUUUGGUUGGGUUGAUAGUUAUUAUAUUUUUGGUAUUGAAUCUUUUUUUAUAUCCCUUUAUUUAUUAUUUUUUUACUUUCACGUUUGAAUUUUUUAUAUCAAACAAAUUUAUAAAAAAAUAUAUAAUAUCUUUUGGAGGGGGGAUUUUUUAUAUUGAUUAGAAGUUAUGUUUCUUAUGUAUUUACUACUGGUUGAUUUACGUUUAAAGUUAUUAUUUUUCUUAGUAUUUUUAUGAUAAAUCAAGCUACUAAAAAACAUUAUAUUUUUAAGGAUAAUCUCAAUAACAACUAAACAUAUAACUAUAAACCCAUCAAAAUUUUAAAAAAAAUAUUAAAAAAAAAUUGAUGAUUCAUAUUUUUUUCUUUUAAAAAAUCUAAGGUGAGAUUAAAAAGUAUAAAAAUUUAUCAUUAAUUUUUGAUGAUAAAAAUUAAAAGUGUGAAAAGAAAAAAGAAAAAAAAAAACCAAAAGAAUCAAAGAGGGUAUUAAAAGAAAAAAAAUAAAGGAGUUAUUAAAAUUUCUAUCAUUUUUUUUUAUAGAAAAAAUUCGAAAGUAAAGUUAAAAAAAAAGGAAAUCAGAGUUACAUUUAAAAAAAAAUAAAUUAGAUAUAAAAAAUACUAAAAUGUUGAAUGAAAAAACUGUAUUAGUUUGAGAAGAAAGAAUUUAGAGGUAGUAAAAAACUGAAAGUAAAAAAAAAGGUUACAUCGAGGGGGUGGGGUUGUUAGGGAUGGAAAAAAAACAGCUCUCUUAUAUUAGUUUUAGAUAGAUAGUUAGUUUGCAUUAGUUAUUUUUCGAGAAAGUUACUGAGAGCUACUUAUUUGUGAUUAUUUUUAUUUUAUUUAUUUUUUCUAUGCGAUCAACAAUCAUCAAAAUUGAUUUGAAAAUAAAUUUUAUUUUAUUUUGGUAGUGUCCGUGGGCAACGGAUAAUUAUUAGUCUAUAUUAUAAAUCAGGGACUUAGUUGUGAAUCCAAAAUUAUCUCUAGCUAUUACGGCUUAUAUUCAUUUGAGUUGUCCAACGGCUCAGAUUUUACCUCAGAUUAUUUUUUUCCGCCUAAAACUGUCAAUUUCAAUCUCUUCCUCCCAAUCACUUUCACUUUCUCUCAUCAUAACUCUCACUCUCUCUCCUCUAAUCAACUUUCACUUUCUCUCUCCAUCAUACUCUCACUCUCUCUCCUCCUAUCACGUUCAUAUUUCAACCCUUUUAGAUUUUGUAAUAUCCUUUAUUUUUUUUUACUUUCACUUGCGGAAUUUGUAUUUAAUUUUUUUAUAUAUUUUUUAAAAAAAAAAAUAAUUUAUUUUUUUUCUGUAAAUACCCCUUGAUUCUUUGUUUUUUUUUUAACUUUCACUUUUGAAUUUUUAUAUAAAAAAAAUUAUGAUAAAAUUUUAUAAUUUCUUUUACUCCCCCCUUAGGUUUUUAUAAAAAAAAAAUGAAUCAAGAUUUUAAGAUUUUUUAAAAUUUUGGUAGGUUGAUAGUAAUAUGUUAUUGUUAUUUGAGUUUUUUAAAACCUCUUGAUUCUUUUUUUUUUUCACUUUCACUUCUGAAUUUUUAUAUAAAAAAAAGAUUUAAAAAAAAUAAUUUUUUUGAGGGGAGAGGAGGAUAUUGAUAGAAGUUAUGUUCGUAUGGAAUGUUGAGUUACUACUGUAAUAUAAUUCAAAUGUAUCAUUUUCUUAUUAUAUUUUUAUGAUAAAUCAAACCCUACUAAAAAAUAACAUAUUGAUUUCAAGAAUAGGCUCAAAAGAAGGAAUAACAUAUAACAUUUAACCAUCGGAAAUUUUUAAAAAAAAUAAAAAUUUGAUCCAUAUUUUUUUUUUUAUAAAAAACAUAAAGUGAAAAUUAAAAAAAUUAUAAAAUUUUAUCAUAAUUUUUUUUUAUAUAAAAAUUUAGAAGUGAAAACAAAAAGAAAAAAAUAAGAAUCAAUGGGUAUUAAAAGAAAAAAAAUAAAGGGGUUAUAAAAUUUUAUCAUAAUUUUUUUUAUAUAAUCGUAUCGACGAGAGGAACAAUCUGGUGCAAUUAAAAAUUAAUUUUGAGCACUUUUCCGGACACCUUAAUUUCAACUUGGGCUCCAAUUCGCCUUCCAAAUGGCUCUGAUACCAAUUAUUAUGCCAAAAACUAAAACCGAUCACACACCACACAAAAGACAAUAAAGAUUACGUGAUUCGGCCAAGAUGACUACGUCCAGGAGAGAAAGCAACAAUCCCAAUAUCAAACAAAUGGAUUACAACGGGGAGACUCGAUCGGCUCACUCACACCCUUCUCACAAUUCUCUAUCUGUCUGCCUCUCAUCUCACUUCCAGCAAUCUGUCUCAGCCCACAACACAUCGCACGUAGCAAAAUCUAAGGCACCCUACUCCUCCCUUUUAUAGACCAAGGAAAGGAGGUGGUUGACUCUACAGAAUACCUAAUCAUUAUCCUAAUCAACUAGGAAAUAAAAGGAUAAACACUCUCAAAGAGUUCUAGAUAACUCGAGAGUUUCACCGUCCCAUGGACCAUCCAUUUUUUUAUGAACUCAAAUCGGGCUUGGACUGCUACUGGAUUUGGACUCAUAAAGAUGGGCUGGAUCAACAAUCUCGCCCUCUAACCCACUAGAGGGUAAUCCGAUUCUUCAAGUUGCCUCUUGACAGCUUCUGAUCUAGCUCCUCCAUAAGACUACAAGAUAGCAUCCGAGAUAACCUUACCUCAUUAUGCUACUCCACUUCUCCCGAAGUGUAUGCACCUCACACCGAAGUGCAGUGCACCUCCAUAUCGAAGUGCAUGCACUUCUCACCGAGGUGCCCUGUCACCCCCCCACUGGGGGCCUCAACUCCCCACCGGGGGGGGGGGGGGGUGGGGGGGGGGGGGGGGGGGGGUGGGUGUUUGGGGGGGGGGGGUGCGCUGUAAAGUACGUCAUUUACGAGUUGUUGUGACUCAUCUCUCCUCGCCUUCUCGCACAACUGGAGAGUCACUGUGCCACUGCUCAAAUCGAGAGCGAGAGACUCGUUUGGUCAUCACCGCACCCUUCGGCUGUAUAACUUCUUCAAAAUUGACUUGGUCUCCUUCCUCUGAGCUUCUCUAUGGACCUCCUGCACUGGUUGGCACCACUCUUGUCCUGGCCAGACCUUCCGUACAUAUCCUCAAAGCAUCUCCAUGCGCUCUUGUACCACUCUAGAUCCUCCAAGUACUCCUACGCUUGCUUUGCGUACUUUCUAUACAACGGUUGCUUCCCUUUUCCAUUUACUUGCUAAACCACUAGACCCUGUCAGAUAGUAGCCUCCCCCUGUCUGACACUCUCCUCCAAUCGGUAUGCCCUCCAAUCUUCUUUCACCACAGCAUCUCCUUUUUCCGUGGAAACGCUCAGAGUUCCUCCACUAGCGUCAAAGCUACAUCCCCUUUGAAUCUAGCACCAAGGAAAUUAAUUUUUUUCAUACCAUUAGGAACAGCCUUACCUCGAGUCACGUCACGAGAACCUCCCAUCUUGCCAUAUGGACCGGACUGACCCUCUGCCAACAACUCUGCUAGAUUGUUGUUUUUCGCAUCCAUAACGGCCUCGCAUGGUGCAGAUGUAAGAACACCUCUCUUCUCUGCACAAGUGGUAAGCACUGCCUGAAUCCAAUACUCCAAUCUGAACUUCUUAUCAUCCGAUACUGCUAGGAGUACAUCACUCUCAAUCUCAUCCACAGCCACACUAUUGUUGCUGCUGUAAUCUGAGACUGAUCAUGGUGGCUUUAUACUUUAGACAAUCCCUCUUGCUUGGCCCCUCUUGGUCGCAAUAAAAGUACCUAACAGUGCGACCUCUCGCCUUGACCUCCAUCCUUCCUUUUCUAGUACCCUAUGAUAAUAUUACAAAAACAUCUAAUACACUUAAUAUAUUUUAUCAAAUUAAAAGCACAACUGGGCAUCCAAAACAAUGCCUCAAGACUCAGGAUAACCCUCGGUACUUCACAAAAUGUUUUUUUAUAGGUAAGUGAACUAUCUGAAAGAUUUAAUAAUGGACUUGAUGCGUCAGCCAAAACUCAUGAUCAUAACUAUACUAUGAAUACAUGAGCACUAAAAUAUGCUUUCAUUUAUCUAAAAUAUACUUUUAAUUUUAAUCCGUGAUUUCUCAAAUCAUCGGUUUUCCAAAAAUUUGGCUUUUCUCACAAGCAUUAAUUCCAAUAAUUUAGAAUGCCAACCUAACCAUCCCUAACCGCAACCUCAUUAUGCACUAAGCACUGAUAUACACCCGUCAAUCUUUUUCGGCUUUCACCGUGGGCUAUGAUAUUCCCUCCGUAUAAUUUCCAUCUAGGACUUUCAUUUUGUCAACUUCUCGGACUUCACCCGUGGGCUAUGACAUUCCCUCCGUAUCGUUGUUCAUCUAGGACUUUCAUUUUUGGUCAUUUUUUCGGACUUUCACCGUGGGCUAUGACAUCCCUCUGUAGCUUUGUCUAGGCAACUUAUUGUCAACUUUCCGGACUUUCACCGUGGGUUUUAACAUUCCUCCGUAUCGUUGCCAUCUAGGACUUAUUCUGUGCUUAAUCUAAACGCAUCUAAUUCCCUGUAUAUUUUAGCGGGUCAUUCCUAAAACGAUUCCUCAUUUUCAAGGUCCAAUUCCAUUUUAAACCCAACUUCAUGUAUUUUUGAACUUUUUAUAUUUAACAAGACUUUCACAGUAUACUAAAAAUCACUUUAUUCAAGCAAUUCCAAUGUAACCAACAUAAAUCAUUAAAGAGACAAUUUCAAUAUACUUACGUCAAAUAUUUUUCAUAAGCAUUUAUGAGCAUUAAUGUUGAUAAUAUCUGUAUUAAAGCAAAAUAUUUUAAAUACCGUUUUACAUUUCUAUCUCUUACUUUUCGCAUAAAAAUAAAUUAUACUCAUCAAAACUAAAUGUUGUCCCUUUUCAGUUUAAUACAAAAAAAUAAUAUCUUCAAUAGAUUUUUAUAAAGCUAUAACAACAAAUCCAAAGUAAACCCACAAACUCCCCCCUUUAUCUAAAUAGAAUUUGACACCGACAGAUAUGAAGGAUCGGCUUUGAUGAUCCGUCAUACUAAUUUUGGAUUGAAUCCAACGUCAUCUCACCGUUGAUCGCACCCCUAUCUUCAUGAUCAAAAUGUAAAAACCACACCAUAUAAUUUCUUCUCAUUCUUCUCUCCCUCCUCUUCUUCUAGCCUUUCCCUCUUUCUUCAUCCUAGCUUCCUCCCGCUGCUAUUUAUAGACGAGAGGCAAGGUGGGGGUCUUUUCUCCCUUCUAUUAUAUAUAUAUCAAUAUUAUCAUUUUAUUAUUUUAUUAUUUUAUUGUAUUUAUUAUUUAUUUUCUUUCGGCGCCUUCGGCGCAAAGAUAUGUAGAGUCAAAUAGUUUAAUAAAAAUCACACUUCAGUACCUCCACUUCUAAAUUACAUAUAUCAUUCAUUGAAAGAUCCUCUUUAAUUUAAUCCCACAAGUCAUGAUUUGUUUAAUUUAACUCAAUACAACAUAGCAAAAUCCAAAAUGUUUAUAUAUAUAAAAAUUGAAACUUACAAUCUCCACUAUUUAAGAAAUUUCGUCCUCGAAUUAGAUAAACGUACCUGUGAUCAAAAAGGUCCGGAUAUUUGGCGUGAACCUCUGAUUCACGUUUCCCAUGUAGCUUUCCUCUAUGCCAUGAUGAAGCAAUAGAACCUUCACUAAUGGAAUAGUCUUCCUCUCAAAACCUUGUCUUAGUGAUCAACAACACGAAUCGGUGCGCUCCUCAUACAUGACAUCCUCUUGACGUCAAGAUCUCCCCAAUCCAAAAUGUUGUGAAGGAUCGGACUCAUAUUCGCAAUAUGAAAUUACAUUGUGACCAUAUUGGGCCAACCUCGGUGGCAGGCAAACGGUAUGCCACGACCCCAAUACGAUCAAGAAUCUCAAACGGUCCAAUAAAUCUUGGUGAUAGCUUGCCACUAUGCCCCGCAAGACGAUCAAACCCCUUAGGUGAAACCCUCAGAAUACAUGAUCCCCAACAGCAAACUCCAAAAUCAUCAUGUAAAACCCAAUCUGUUGAGCCAUACAUUCUAGCCAAUCGGUGCAAAGAGUUUUUGACUCCAAUCUUGUAUUGUGCCUCAAUGGACCCUACUACUGAUUGAUGGCUCUGCCAGACCAAUGUGAAUAAGUAGCAGACUCACCGAUCUCGCUGAGAAGUAAGUCGAAUUCACCGAUAUCCUCAAGUAUUUGCCACUCACCAUGAAAAUACUCGCCAAAGUGCUAAGAGACUUCCUACUAAGUGCAUCAGCCAAAACGUUGGCCUUUCCUGGAUAUAGUGCAAUUCGAAGUCGUAGUCCUCCAUGUACUCCAUCUACGCCGCUGCCUCAAGUUCAAGUCUUCUGCGUUGAACAAAGUACUUCAAGCUCUUGGUGAUCUAAAAGAACACUUCAAAACGUUUCCGUACAAGUAAGGCCUCCAACUUGUUUAUAAGCGAAACUAACGGCUGCAAGUUCCAAGUUAUGAGUCAGAUAAAUUUUGUAAUGCAUCUUCAAUGACGAGAAACCAUAUGCAAUCGAUGUACCCAAUGCAUCCAACACGCCAACACAAGCCAUCACGUUGAAGCACACAGACACAGUAUUACAAACAACCCCGUUCAAGUAUAACAAGAAUUGGUGUCGAAGUCAAUCUCUUUCUUAAGUUCUUGAAAAGAAUGCUGCAUUGCAUCGUUUUCAACAAAACGAAUUCCUUCCUCGUAAAUUGAGUCAUUGGUGCCGAAAAUCGUGAAAAGUCCUCUACCAAACUCUCGGUAGUAACCAGCUUAAAUCCAAGAAACUACGAAUUUCAUAAUAUAGUCUUUGGUAUUCCCAUUUCAUUACUGCAUCCAAUCUUUGAUGAAUCAACCGCCACUCCAGCCUCCCAAAAACAACAUACUAAGAAAACUUUACAUCAGGUAACCAAAACUCGCUUUGCUAAGCUUAUCAUACAAGCGAUGUUCUCGCAAAAGCUGUAAACACGAUCCUUCAAUGCUCCCUAUGUGAAUUAAUGAUGGCGACUAGAUUAGAUGUCAUCUACGAAUAAGACCACGAAACGAUCAAGAUUAGUGAUUGAAGAUACGAUUCAUCAAACCGGCAAGUUGCUGGCGCAUUCGUAAGACCAAACGGCAUACAAGGAAACCCAUAAUGCCCCAAUAAAAAGGGCGGGGUGAGAAAAGCCAUCUUCGCAAUGCCCCCUGCCUUAAUUCUCAAUUGGUGAUAAACCCGGACCUAAAUCGAUCUUCGAGAAUAGCUCGAACAUGUAUGGUCAAAUAAGUCAUCGAUUCUCGGAAGUGGAUUACUUAUUCUUUAUCGCUCACGCGGUUCACACUCGUCAGUAAUCUAACACAAUCUAAGAUGGACCCAUCCUUCUCUUAGCAAAAUAAGGGCCUAAGCUUCCACGGCGAUACACUAGGUCGAAUAACGCCUUAUCCAAAAAGGCUUGAAUCUGCAUUAACUUUGUAAACUUACCGGGCAAAAGAUACGAUGGUACCGAGAUGGGUGCGUGCCUGAUACUAAGAUCAAUGGAGAACUCAAAUUCCCGGUGCAGUGGUAAUUUUGUCAAAUCUUAUGGGAAAGACAUUCGAACCACUCGCAUACGUCGGUGGCAAGCCGCUAUAAGAAUAUGCUACCCUGUCGACCAACAAGCCGAGAAAAAGAAAAUUACAACCACUUGAACUGACUCACAUCAAUGACUAAAGGGACAGAAUCACAAACAUCGAUCUCCCAUAAAAUAAAACGAUCACCCUCGGGUGUACAAAAGGUACUGAUGUCGAACACAAUCCUAUAGUAGCCCGAUAGUCGGUCAACCAAUCCAUACCAAUGAUUACGUUCAAAAGAAGUCAUGUCUAACACCAAUGAAGUUGAACACCAAAACGUUCUAUCACCGAUUUUCAAUCUCGCCAAAGAUCUUACAAAAGCGCCUCAAGGUUGUCCUACCUUCCACUGGAGUGUUACUAAGAUUGAAUCUAAUAUACCAACCUUCAAUCCUUAAGCCAAACGCAAAUAUGAUAAAGCAAUGAAUGAAUGUGAUGCUACCCGUGUCCAUGAGAACACGAGUCUCGAAUUAAAAAUGAGUAAAAGUACCUCGUUCAUACAACAGAGGUAUCCAAUUGUGACUCCUGGUGUCAAGCUGUCACUGACGGCUACGAUGAAUGAUGUCAAUAGCUAAAUCGUCACACAUCCUCUGACCCUGCGAGUUACAGCCUGUGGUCGGACUGAUAUGACGGUUGUGCUGAUUGUAAAUGCUGGAUUGACCCUCGAGGCCUGAACUGACCAAGUAGGUUGUUUGUGAUCCUGUAGCUCACUGAUUGUUCUCCUUCUGCGUGCACUGUCGACGGAUAGACAACCUGACCACACUGAAAGCAAGUAGGUGGCCCCCCUAACUUAGUGAUUGUCUUGUGCUCGGAGGUGAGAUGUCCCCCGGCUGUGGGACUGCCGUUCGCGACCCUUAAGUGGGAGUCCAUAAACGAGACCCGGUUGAUGACAACAAAACAAAUCGGCCCUCCCCGAUAGUUUGGCCAGAGAUACUACUAGAAGGGUGGGUAAAGGACCUCGUAGGAAUGCUGCUGUGCGAGUAGAACUCUUGACUUCUUAAAAGAACGCACUUCAGACAUGGUUGUAGUCCCAUCCGCUGUGACUUAGGAUUUUGAUCUUCUAGUCUCAAUUCAAAGUUUCUCAAUAAGCGUCGCCGAGCUACCAUAGUUGAGUAAACUUUGAUCAAUUUCCCGCGAUCUUAUUUCAUUAGAGACGGCCUAAGCCCCGCAUAAAAAAUUUUCGCUUCUCCUUUUCGGUCUACAAAUGCUUUUACAACCUUGACAAACUAGUAAAGUUGGCCCUCAUAUUGAGCCACAAUCAUUAUCUCUUUGAACCAAAUUAAGAAAUUCCAUCUUAAUGCCUCUAGCUGUGUCCGUAAAAUACAUGAUCCAAGAAAGCCUUCUUGAAAAGGCUCUCCUUUCACUUUUUCGUAUCCACGUCCUCCACGCGUCUUCCAACAUUGGAGGGCAUCCCCGUGCAAUUGCUAGAUGCCAAACAAUACAUACGCCCACCUAUUUCCUUCACGUCCUCCAAGAGUGUAUCCAACGCACUGUGAUUGUUCAAGCCAAUCUUCUGCAACAAACGAUCUGGUUCUCCAUUAAACGUGGUGGACGUAGCUGAAGAAAGGCUCUCAUGCCCGCCGUGGUAGUCCUAUUUUAUGUCGCAUAUAAUCGCAUUGCCAUAGUUGCACAGUGUUUUCUCACCCACUUUGCUCAAAUGGCGGUAAACACUCCUUGCAUAAAUUCGGCGCCACCAAAAUCGGUAGGUGGAACACCUCCAGCAUUCCCUACAUUUUCUAAGGAGCACUUGCCUUCCUCCCUACCGACUCUUGGUGAUCAUCUUCCCUCAUCGACGAUUCCUAAAGGCCCCGCGUUGCUGCUCCACGUGCCUCACGGAGUUCCAGUAAGUGACAUUCGCACGACCUCUCACGUGCGUGGUGCAUGUUCUACACAAGCCACAAAAAGUAAUAAGAUAAUAUACUUCACUUAUAUUAAGCAUAAUUGUAUAGCAUAAGCAAUUCAAUAAAAUAUGAAUGUACAUUCAUGUUUUCCUAUCACAUAGAUAACGUACACUAAAAUUACCCUCUCAAUACUUAGACGUUAAACAAAAGGUGGUCUAACAAUCUCAUGGCUCAUAGGUAUUCGAACCUGAGCUCUAAUAGCAUGUGUCACGCCCGGUCAAACAAGACCCGGCUACGUAAGCAAACACUCACAUGCGAAAAAAAAGUCAAAAAUAACAAAAAAUGACAACAACUGUCAUUUCAUCAGAGUGCGGAAAUAAUAUUACCAACCAUCUAAUUACACUUUAAUAGAUUUAUGCAAACUAAACAGCACACUGGACAUUCCACAGCCUCAGACUCAGGAUAACCCUCGGUGGUACUUGAAAAGUAUUUUUUUUAUAGUAAUGGUGAAGUAUCUUGAAAGAUGUAAUAAUGGAUGGAUGCUCAAGCCAAAACUAUGAUCCAUAACUAUACUAUGAAUACAGAUGCCAAUAAAAUAUGCUUUCAUUUAGAUAAAAAUAUACUUUUAAUUUAAAUCCGUGAUUUCUCAAAUCAAUAGGUUUUCCAAAAAUUGGCUUUUCUCACAAAGCAUACUCCAAUAAUAGAAUGAACACCUAGACCAUACUAACAACCUCAGUAUGCAUUAAAGAACGUGAGAUAAACCCGUCAACUUUCAGGACUUUCACCGUAGGCUAUGAUAUUCCAUCCGAUAUCAUUUCCAUCUCUAGACUUUCAUUUUGUCAACUCCCCGGACUUUCACGGGGUCUAUGACAUUCCCCCUCCAUUACGUUGCAUUAGGACUUUCAUUUUGUUAAUUUUUUGGACUCACCGUGGGCUAUGACAUUCCUUCCGUAACUCGUUGUCAUCUAGAACUUUAUCGUGCUUAAUUAAGCAUCUAAUUCCAGUAUAUUUAGUGUGUCAUUCCUUAAAACCAAUUCUCAUUCUCAAGUCCAAAUUCCAUUUCUAAACUAAUUCAUUGUAUUUUGAAACUUUUUAUAUUUAACAAUUACUUUCACAGUAUACAUAAAAAUCACUUUUAUCAAUCAAUUCAAUGUAACCAACAUAAAUCAUUAAAGAGACAUUCAAGGUAAUUACUGAUCAAAUUUAUAAGUAUUUAUGCGCAUUAAUUUGAUAAUAAAUCUGAUAUUAAAGCAAAAUAUUUUAAAUAAAAUUUUUAACAUUUCUAUCUCUUAAUUUUCGUAUAAAAAUAAAUUAUGCUCAUCAAAACUAAAUUUUCAUUUAAAGUUUAAAUACAAAAAAAUAAUAUCUCAAUAACUUUAUAUAAGCAGUAACAAACAAACCCAAAAUAAAACCAAACAAACUAACUCCCUUACCUCAAAUAGAAUUUUACACCGUCAGAUAUAAAGAUCAGGCUUCCCUAUCGUCAUACUAAAAUUGUGCAUUGAUCCAACUCAUCUCACCGUUGAUCUUUACCCCUAUCUUAUGAGCACAAUCUUAACCACACCAUAUAAUUUCUCUCAUUUCUUUCUCUCUCUCUCUUCUCUUCUUUUCCUCUUCUCUCCAUCUCUCCGAGCUUCCUUUCCUCCUCUCUAUUUACUAGAGUUGUCUCACUUAUCUUUACAUCUAUAAAUAUUAUUAUUUUAUUAUUUUAAUUUUCUUAUUUUAUUAUUUUAUUUCCUUUUUUUUCUUGCGGCGCCACUUAUUUCUUUCGGGGCCUUUCGGCGCAAAGAUGUUGCAAAAGUCAAAUAGUUUAUAAAAAUCACAAUUCAGCCCCUCCCCAACUUCUAAUUAUAUUAUAAAUUCAAUUUAAAUAUCCUCUUUAAUUUCAUCACAAGUCAUGAAUUGUUCAAUUUAAACUCAAUACAACAUAGCAACCAAAAUUUUAUAUAUAUAAAAUUUGAAACAUACAUCUUCAUGAACACGGCACAAUGACCAUACUCGUAGUCAACUUCCCAGUCGGCGCUGAAUUGCUGAGAGAAACCCUCAUGUCUCAACUCUCUAACAAGGAACUCAGAAGAAAAUAAGGCCGUAUCUCGUCGUCAAACGGUAGAUCAACACUGAUCAACUAAUUAACCAAAUUGGAACGCCGCUCGUAUGUUCCGCCACGUAGUCUCUCUCUGAAGCUUCAAUUCACAAGCCUUCCUCAUUUCAAUAAGGCUUUUGUGCUGAAUGUCUUCGAUUGGUACAGCUCCUCAACUUGAUCCACAACUCAUAAGCAUGUCUCUUAUUCUACAUGAUGGGAACACCUCGGUCCAAUGCACCGUAUGAUUAGCCCAAUCGUUUCUUGUUCAUCUUUUCAUUCCCAUCCUUCGCCGCUACAGGUUUAUCGCCUUUAUUCUCCAAAGGGUCAUGCAAAUCUUAAAAAUAGGAUGUCCUCACCUAGGUUUCCUAUGGGUAAUUCGUCGCUUAAAAGUAAGGAUCAUCGAUCCCAAAUAUACUCGUCAUCUUACUUCUCCCAAAUAGAAGCAAAAUCUCCAAAAACCAACCCCACGGAUGAAUCUGCAAUGCCGAAAAACCUCAAAAAGGGCUAAAUUGUCAAAAUCAAAAACUUCUGGGACCAAACUAUCAAAAUCAGAAAGUUCUGGGGCCAAAUUGACAAAAUUAAAAGUUCUUGGGCCAAAUUGAAUAAAUCAGAAAAUUUUGGGACCAAAUUGAAAAUAAUCGAAACUUUAGAGACUAAACUGUAAUUAUCAAUAAUUCUAGGGACUAAUUUGUAAUUAACAAAAACUCUAGGGACCAAACUGUAAUUACCCAAAAAUUCAAGGGCUAAAAUUGUAAUUUACCCGAUCAAAGUCAAUGGUCAAUGGUCAAACGGUCAACGGUCAGCGCUGACUAGGCAUUGACUGGGCGCGCACGUGGCACCUAGCUGGCGCGUGAAUUCCCUUCCCGCGCGUGGCGCGUGUAGACUGGCGCGUGAAGCGCGUGGCUCCCUCCCCUCGGCGCGUGGCUCCCUCCCUGGGCGCGUGGCUGCACAUGACAGCUCCUCUCCGGCGCGUGUAGGGGCGUGGGUCCUCCCCCGUGCGCGUGGCGCGCGUGGGACCUCCCUGGGUGCAUGGCUGAGACUUGAUCUCACUCGCCGAUGUAGCAGCCGUGAGGGGCACGUCCGGACUCCAUUUCUGACGCGGUUGGUGCUGGAGGCCCGUUAUAGACGAGAGGAACAACCUGGUGACAAUCAAAAAUUAAUUUGAGCACUUCCCGGGAACACCUGAAUUUUAAAAUGGGCUCCAAAAUCGCCUCCACUAGGCUUCUGAUACUAAUUGUUGUACUCAAAACUAAUACCAUCACACACACACAAAAGACAAUAAAGAUUUUACGUGGUUCGGCCAAGAUGCCUAUGUCCACGGAAGAGAAAUCAACAAUCCAUAUAAACAAAUGGAUUACACGGAGGAGACUCGAUCGCUCAACUCACAACCCUCUCCACAAUCUCUAUCUGUCUUGCCUCUCAAUCUAACCUAAAGCAAUCUGCUCUCAGCCACAACACAAACGCACGUUAGAAAAAUCUAAGCACCCUUACCCUCCCUUUAUAGACUAAGGGA